rnacentral:rRNA from 1 species
UACGUAGGGUGCAAGCGUUGUCCGGAAUUAUUGGGCGUAAAGAGCUCGUAGGCGGUUUGUCGCGUCUGCUGUGAAAACUCGGGGCUUAACCCCGGGCCUGCAGUGGGUACGGGCAGACUAGAGUGCGGUAGGGGAGAACGGAAUUCCUGGUGUAGCGGUGAAAUGCGCAGAUAUCAGGAGGAACACCGGUGGCGAAGGCGGUUCUCUGGGAAUAUCCUGACGCUGAGGAGCGAAAGUGUGGGGAGCGAACAGG